GGAAUGGAAGGAUUGCCAGGAGCAAGAAGAUGGAGCUGGACAGCACAAGAGCUCAUGCCACACGCAGCGCUCUCAUGCUCGCCUAUGGCCGCUUGGCACUGUGUGCCAGCAAGGAGCAGCUGCUCGCCCGCCUGGAGGUAGACAUUGUGGGCAACAUCCUGCUGCUGUACAGCUGCAGCUGCCGGGACUUGCGGAAC